GCGACAACUCUAUGGUGAGAGAAAGGGCGGGAAGCGCGAGCAUGCGUAAGAGGGGAGGCUUGGGUGUAACGGACACAGAAAAGGUAUAACGUGUGAUAAGACUGCUCCCACUCCAUAUGGGGAGGCAUCACAGGCCAACUGUAAAGGCAUGCUCAAUGUGUCCUUUUUUUCCACACUGUUGACACAAUAGGUCCUUACACCAGCAUUCUGAUGCAUGAUGAUCUGGCUUACCACUGCAGUAACAUGCCUGGCUCCCCACUAUUUGAUGGGUCGCAGAGGAGGAGAACGAUGAUGAAUAGCAGGAGCAGAAGGAGAAUGAUGAUGACACGGACACAGUGACACUGUCCCUGGAGCCGGUUGCCAUGAGCCUGGAUGUAUUGCAGGCAUCGUCUGACAUUGGGAAGGGAUCUUCAGCCGGACCAGCUGGAACUGAGGGGUGAGCCACACCACCCAAGCCAGCCGCCUGACCCCCGGAGACCCGAAAUUGCUCCAGGAUGAGCUGACCAGGCAGCAUGUGGGCAUCCUACAUGACAUACAGCAGACCCUGGCGCAGAAGGUCCGGGAGGACGCAGACUGGCCAACCCGCAUGUGGGACUAUCUCAUGUGGCAGGGUGAUUACAUGUGUGCCAUCAUGUGGGAAAUAAUGGCACACCAGGCUGCUGUCGCUGCUCCUGCCUACUACCCUCCUGCCCCCCAAGCAAUGCCCAUACCCCCUCCCCAAGUGAU